rnacentral:rRNA from 1 species
GACGACGCUGGCGGCGUGCCUAACACAUGCAAGUCGAGCGGAGUCGAUCGACGGAAGCCUUCGGGCGGAAGAUGGUUGACUUAGCGGCGGAUGGGUGAGUAACGCGUGGGCAACCUGCCUCGAAGACCGGGAUAACAGCCCGAAAGGGCUGCUAAUACCGGAUGUGGUCAAGGAUCCGCAUGGAUUUUGAUUAAAGGGGAAACCCGUUUCGAGAUGGGCCCGCGUCCUAUCAGCUAGUUGGUGAGGUAAAAGCUCACCAAGGCGACGACGGGUAGCCGGCCUGAGAGGGUGACCGGCCCACUGGAACUGAGACACGGUCCAGACUCCUACGGGGGGCAGCAGUGGGGAAUCUUCCACAAUGGGCGAAAGCCUGAUGGAGCGACGCCGCGUGAGCGAAGAAGGCCUUCGGGUUGUAAAGCUCUGUCUGGAGGGACGAAGGAAGUGACGGUACCUCCGGAGGAAGCCACGGCUAACUACGUG